rnacentral:rRNA from 1 species
GACAGAGGGUGCAACCGUUGUUCGGAAUUCCUGGGCGUAAAGCGAGUGUAGGCGGUCUGCUAAGUCGGGUGUGAAAGCCCUGGGCUCAACCCAGGAAGUGCACUCGAAACUGGCAGGCUAGAGUACUGGAGAGGUUGGUGGAAUUCUCGGUGUAGAGGUGAAAUUCGUAGAUAUCGAGAGGAACACCGGUGGCGAAGGCGGCCAACUGGACAGAUACGGACGCUGAGACUCGAAAGCGUGGGGAGCAAACAGG